rnacentral:rRNA from 1 species
CCUACGGGUGGCAGCAGUGGGGAAUAUUGGGCAAUGGAGGAAACUCUGACCCAGCAAUGCCGCGUGAAUGAAGAAGGUCUUCGGAUUGUACAGUUCUUUAGUCAGGGAAGAAGUCAAUGACGGUACAUGAAGAAUAAGCUCCGGCUAACUACGUACCAGCCGCCGCGGUAAUACGUAGGGAGCAAGCGUUGUUCGGAAUGACUGGGCUUAAAGGGUGCGGAGGCGGUUGGACAAGUUAGAAGUGAAAUACCCAGGGCUUAACUCGGGUGCUGCUUCUAAAACUGGAUGACUUGAGUGCAGUAGAGGUUAGUGGAAUUCCUAGUGUAGCGGUGGAAUGCGUAGAUAUUAGGAGGAACACCAGAGGCGAAGGCGGCUAACUGGACUGCAACUGACGCUGAGGCACGAAAGUGUGGGGAGCAAACAGGAUUAGAUACCCCGGUAGUC